UACAGAGGGUGCAAGCGUUGUUCGGAAUUAUUGGGCGUAAAGCGCGUGUAGGCGGCUUUGCAAGUCGGGUGUGAAAGCCCUCAGCUUAACUGAGGAAGUGCGCCCGAAACUGCUUGGCUUGAGUACCGGAGAGGAUGGUGGAAUUCCCGAAGUAGAGGUGAAAUUCGUAGAUAUCGGGAGGAACACCGGUGGCGAAGGCGACCAUCUGGACGGAUACUGACGCUGAGACGCGAAAGCGUGGGUAGCAAACAGG
rnacentral:rRNA from 1 species